UCCCACCCCCAAUUUUUUAUUAUAUUUUUUUGCAUUUUUAUUUCUUAUUUUUGGAAGAAAAUGUAAUAAAUGACCACACCCCCGCACUAUACACCCCUAUCCACCCCACCCCUCCAUCUUUUUUUAUUGAAUAAUUGAGAUAGGUCCCUUCACCUUUAAAAAGAAAAAUAGAUGAGCGGUCUGCACCCGCAAGGCGGUGCUCUUGUUUUAUGUAUGAUCACCAAUUGAUAUUGGUAAAAUUAUAAAACCAUUGUUACGUAUUUCAUUGGUUAUUUGGUCAAUUAAUAAGUGUUGUCAAUGGCCAAAUGGAAGCACUUUUAAUUUUACUCUCAAGAGGACUGAGUUCAAAUCUUGGCAAAGGCAUUUUUAAUGUAUAUUAUAACUACAUGAUAUAGUUUUUGUAAGUAAAUACAUUUGAUGAUGUGUUAAAAUAUACGAAAAUUCCGUGAACAGCCACUUUCAAUAUAUGUGUGUAUCAAACAAGUGGGUUGUAAAAUGUACAUUUUAUGAGGUGUUCUUUUGACUUUUUGUUUAUUUUUUAUUCUUGGGCAAAACUGUUUUUUGUGCGCUGCUUAUAAAUGGAAAAACAUUA